UAAUGCAGUCGAACGAACUCUGGUAUUGAUUGGUGCUUGCAUCAUGAUUUACAUUUGAGUGAGUGGCGAACUGGUGAGUAACACGUGGGAAACCUGCCCAGAAGCGGGGGAUAACACCUGGAAACAGAUGCUAAUACCGCAUAACAACUUGGACCGCAUGGUCCGAGUUUGAAAGAUGGCUUCGGCUAUCACUUUUGGAUGGUCCCGCGGCGUAUUAGCUAGAUGGUGGGGUAACGGCUCACCAUGGCAAUGAUACGUAGCCGACCUGAGAGGGUAAUCGGCCACAUUGGGACUGAGACACGGCCCAAACUCCUACGGGAGGCAGCAGUAGGGAAUCUUCCACAAUGGACGAAAGUCUGAUGGAGCAACGCCGCGUGAGUGAAGAAGGGUUUCGGCUCGUAAAACUCUGUUGUUAAAGAAGAACAUAUCUGAGAGUAACUGUUCAGGUAUUGACGGUAUUUAACCAGAAAGCCACGGCUAACUACGUGCCAGCAGCCGCGGUAAUACGUAGGUGGCAAGCGUUGUCCGGAUUUAUUGGGCGUAAAGCGAGCGCAGGCGGUUUUUUAAGUCUGAUGUGAAAGCCUUCGGCUCAACCGAAGAAGUGCAUCGGAAACUGGGAAACUUGAGUGCAGAAGAGGACAGUGGAACUCCAUGUGUAGCGGUGAAAUGCGUAGAUAUAUGGAAGAACACCAGUGGCGAAGGCGGCUGUCUGGUCUGUAACUGACGCUGAGGCUCGAAAGUAUGGGUAGCAAACAGGAUUAGAUACCCUGGUAGUCCAUACCGUAAACGAUGAAUGCUAAGUGUUGGAGGGUUUCCGCCCUUCAGUGCUGCAGC
rnacentral:rRNA from 1 species